GGCGGAAGUGGCUGGAACCUGGUGGUGAUGCUGCUGUUGCUGAGGCGGCUCUGGAGCCAAGAAGGAAUUGAAAGGAGACGAGGAUGGCACUCCGUACCCACUUCCCGGAUACGAGACUAGCUGGCUGGGAUCUGGCGGGACUUUAGGAGAUGGGACACCAGGGCUUUGGUUUGUCCCUGAAACUGGUGGUGCGCCAACUUGUGCCUGGGGAGUGAGAGCUCACCAGGAGACACGGAUGAGCAGAGAGCUGCCGGACGGUAACAGCGAUGAGGCGACGUGACCUGUGGGCAAGCUGCAGCAGCGCUGAUCGGGAGCGGUGAAAACCAGACUCUUGUAUACGCUGCUGCCCUCCUGCCCAGAGACCCAAGGGGCUCUAAUGGCUUGAUUCUCUGGGAGUCUUGAAAGACACUUGAGGAGAGACGGGGAGUUAUUUCAAAGCCUGGAGAGACCAGUACAGAACUUGUCCGCUCCUUUCAGUGGCGGAAACUUGGGGUGUGUUUAUUAGCUUUGAACCAGGAUAGGGGGAGCUGUGUGGCCCAUUCAGGAGGUGGAGAGGCCCUUUCCUGCUGUUCCUCCUGCAUUGAGUCCUCAAGUGAGGUCCUGAAAGGGGGAGGGGGGAGCCCAGAUACCCCCCUCCCCCAGGAGAGAACCAGAGGCCAGGAGUCCACCAGCAACACUGAGCCGACACCAAUCAGCCUAUAUGGGAGGGCCACAUUUCCUGGUACCGCUGAGGGGAGUGAAACCAGCCGAGCCAGCGAGAACUGUGUCGAAACUGCUGUGCGUUAAAACUUCAACAGGACACGGCUCGGUAUGGUGCUGUCCCCUCUGCUCUGUACCAUUGCCCAGAGCGGAUCUGUUUGCUGUUUCUCCCCCCAUCCCGCUCCCCCCUGCGGCUGGAAAUCAGAUACCGGCAGAGAGAGAGAGAGAAGCGAUUAGAGAGGAGAGUUCAUAAUGCUGGACUUGGGUCAUUUGCCUUGUUGAACAGCGACUGGUACAGAGAGGCAAGAGGUUGACACAGCCAGAGUCUAUAACAAGUGGGGUCCUCGAGCCGGAUGCGUGCCCGGACAGAGGGGAGACUGUCUCCUGAGCUAGAGCCUUGAAGCCAGGUUUGACAUUCAGCUGAGGACCGAGAGGGGGUGAAUGUGAAAUCGACACAGCAUCUGGAACCCAGAAGCCCGCCUGCCUUGUUAUCCGAAGAGACAAGGGGUGUGGAGGGAAGCAGAGCCCCUCUCCAAGAGCUCGUGGUGAUGGCGAGAUAACAGCUACUCCGGUAGGAGGAGAACUUUUUAUGGCUGAAACUUUUGCCCUUUCCAGGGAAGGGGAACAAAGAAACUUUUUAGAGACGGAUCUAAAGCACUCAUGACCUUCUAUAAGCUAUAAUUUGUGAUCAGGUGGGUGAGACCACGUCUGCUUCCGUGUGAUUGUGAUCAUGUCAGCUGAGAUCAGGGCUGCAUUGUGCCAGUUGCUGCCUAGACACACACGGAGAGACAGUCCCUGCCCUGGGGAGUUUUCAGACAAGGCAGGAGGGUGGGGGACAGAAUUAUAUCUCCAAUAUGCUUUCCAGGAAGAAGGAAUAUUUAGUGUGUUUUCUCUCCUGUCUCCUUGGCUGGUGUUUCCUUCCCAUCCCAGGAGGGUUGGACAGUGCGAGGAAAAUCUUUCUAGGCUCUGGAAAGCAGCCU